rnacentral:lncRNA from 1 species
CCCUCCCCUCCCCUCCCCUCCUCCCUCCUCCGCACCGCACCACUCCCCCGGGCUGUCUCCUUCCCCCAGUUUUCUCCCCUCCCUCCACAGCAGCGAUUUGAAUCUGGUGCUCUCCCGCUUCCUCUCAUAUCCACCCCUGCCCGCGCAUGCGGCGCUGCCGCCGUGGAGAGGCGCCCCGCGGCCUGGGUUGGGACGAGCGGUCCCCUCGGAGCCGGAGGGCGAUUAUGGGGUCCGGCCGUCGACAUCGCCCUCCUCUGAGGGGCGGUCUUGGGGAAGGGGAGCGGGUCUGCGACCUCCGUUCUUCCCGCGGGAGUGGGUGUGGGGCCGAGAAGGCAGCCGGGCCCCGUCCUGUUUCCCAUGAGCGCGGCUGGUCCCUGCUCCCGCAAGCUGUCCGUGCUUUCCUCUCCGUGUUUUCCCCAGAGUCGGGGAUGCGUGGAAGCGUGGGGGGAAGAGCCAUUGAGACGUGUAACAAGAAGCAGUAG